GAUGAACGCUGGCGGCGUGCCUAAUACAUGCAAGUCGAGCGAACGGACGAGAAGCUUGCUUCUCUGAUGUUGGCGGCGGGCGGGUGAGUAACACGUGGAUAACCUACCUAUAAGACUGGGAUAACUUCGGGAAACCGGAGCUAAUACCGGAUAAUAUUUUGAACCGCAUGGUUCAAAAGUGAAAGACGGUCUUGCUGUCACUUAUAGAUGGAUCCGCGCUGCAUUAGCUAGUUGGUAAGGUAACGGCUUACCAAGGCAACGAUGCAUAGCCGACCUGAGAGGGUGAUCGGCCACACUGGAACUGAGACACGGUCCAGACUCCUACGGGAGGCAGCAGUAGGGAAUCUUCCGCAAUGGGCGAAAGCCUGACGGAGCAACGCCGCGUGAGUGAUGAAGGUCUUCGGAUCGUAAAACUCUGUUAUUAGGGAAGAACAUAUGUGUAAGUAACUGUGCACAUCUUGACGGUACCUAAUCAGAAAGCCACGGCUAACUACGUG
rnacentral:rRNA from 1 species